rnacentral:rRNA from 1 species
GGGUGACGAGCGGCGGACGGGUGAGUAAUGUCUGGGAAACUGCCUGAUGGAGGGGGAUAACUACUGGAAACGGUAGCUAAUACCGCAUAACGUCGCAAGACCAAAGAGGGGGACCUUCGGGCCUCUUGCCAUCAGAUGUGCCCAGAUGGGAUUAGCUAGUAGGUGGGGUAAUGGCUCACCUAGGCGACGAUCCCUAGCUGGUCUGAGAGGAUGACCAGCCACACUGGAACUGAGACACGGUCCAGACUCCUACGGGAGGCAGCAGUGGGGAAUAUUGCACAAUGGGCGCAAGCCUGAUGCAGCCAUGCCGCGUGUAUGAAGAAGGCCUUCGGGUUGUAAAGUACUUUCAGCGAGGAGGAAGGCAUUGUGGUUAAUAACCACAGUGAUUGACGUUACUCGCAGAAGAAGCACCGGCUAACUCCGUGCCAGCAGCCGCGGUAAUACGGAGGGUGCAAGCGUUAAUCGGAAUUACUGGGCGUAAAGCGCACGCAGGCGGUCUGUCAAGUCGGAUGUGAAAUCCCCGGGCUCAACCUGGGAACUGCAUUCGAAACUGGCAGGCUAGAGUCUUGUAGAGGGGGGUAGAAUUCCAGGUGUAGCGGUGAAAUGCGUAGAGAUC